rnacentral:rRNA from 1 species
AAGCGGAGGAAAAGAAACUAACAAGGAUUCCCCUAGUAACGGCGAGUGAAGAGGGAAGAGCCCAAGUUUGAAAGCUGGCGUCUUCGGCGUCCGCAUUGUAAACUCGAGAAGCGUUUUCCGCGCCGGACCAAGCUCAAGUCCCUUGGAAUAGGGCAUCAUAGAGGGUGAGAGUCCCGUACUUGGCUUGGAGUCCCCGGGGCUUUGUGAUACGCUCUCCAAGAGUCGAGUUGUUUGGGAAUGCAGCUCAAAAUGGGUGGUAAAUGCCAUCUAAGGCUAAAUAUCGAGGAGAGACCGAUAGCGAACAAGUACCGUGAGGGAAAGAUGAAAAGAACUUUGGAAAGAGAGUUAAACAGUACGUGAAAUUGCCGGAAGGGAAGGGUAGGGAGUCAGAUAUGCUGUGCGGAUUCAGCCUUGUCUUUGGACUUGGUGUAUUUUCGUAUUGGCAGGCCAGCAUCGGUUUGUGCCGCUGGAUAUAGGCUUGGGGAAUGUGGCUUUGUCUUCGGUCAAAGUGUUAUAGCCCCUUGCUGAGUACAGCGGCAUGGACCGAGGCACGCAGCGCACCCUCUGGGCGGGCCCUCGGGCACCUUUGCGCUUAGGAUGCUGGCUUAAUGGCUCUCUGCCACCCGUCUUGAAA